CCUACGGGGGGCUGCAGUGGGGAAUAUUGCACAAUGGGCGAAAGCCUGAUGCAGCGACGCCGCGUGAGGGAUGACGGCCUUCGGGUUGUAAACCUCUUUCAGCAGGGAAGAAGCGAAAGUGACGGUACCUGCAGAAGAAGCACCGGCUAACUACGUGCCAGCAGCCGCGGUAAUACGUAGGGUGCGAGCGUUGUCCGGAAUUAUUGGGCGUAAAGAGCUUGUAGGCGGUUUGUCGCGUCUGCAGUGAAAAUCCGAGGCUCAACCUCGGACUUGCUGUGGGUACGGGCAGACUAGAGUAUGGUAGGGGAGACCGGAAUUCCUGGUGUAGCGGUGGAAUGCGCAGAUAUCAGGAGGAACACCGAUGGCGAAGGCAGGUCUCUGGGCCAUAACUGACGCUGAGAAGCGAAAGCGUGGGGAGCGAACAGGAUUAGAUACCCGGGUAGUC
rnacentral:rRNA from 1 species